rnacentral:rRNA from 1 species
UUAAGCGACUAAGCGUACACGGUGGAUGCCCUGGCAGUCAGAGGCGAUGAAGGACGUGCUAAUCUGCGAAAAGCGCCGGCGAGGUGAUAUGAACCUUUGACCCGGCGAUGUCCGAAUGGGGAAACCCAGUGCAAUCCGUUGCACUAUCGUUAACUGAAUACAUAGGUUAACGAGGCGAACCGGGGGAACUGAAACAUCUAAGUACCCCGAGGAAAAGAAAUCAACCGAGAUUCCCCCAGUAGCGGCGAGCGAACGGGGAGCAGCCCGGAGUCUGAAUCAGCUUGUGUGUUAGUGGAACGGUCUGGAAAGUCCGGCGAUACAGGGUGAUAGCCCCGUACACGAAAGCACACAUGCUGUGAACUCGAAGAGUAGGGCGGGACACGUGGUAUCCUGUCUGAAUAUGGGGGGACCAUCCUCCAAGGCUAAAUACUCCUGACUGACCGAUAGUGAACCAGUACCGUGAGGGAAAGGCGAAAAGAACCCCGGCGAGGGGAGUGAAAAAGAACCUGAAACCGUGUACGUACAAGCAGUGGGAGCCUCUUUAUGGGGUGACUGCGUACCUUUUGUAUAAUGGGUCAGCGACUUAUAUUCUGUAGCAAGGUUAACCGUAUAGGGGAGCCGAAGGGAAACCGAGUCUUAACUGGGCGUUAAGUUGCAGGGUAUAGACCCGAAACCCGGUGAUCUAGCCAUGGGCAGGUUGAAGGUUGGGUAACACUAACUGGAGGACCGAACCGACUAAUGUUGAAAAAUUAGCGGAUGACCUGUGGCUGGGGGUGAAAGGCCAAUCAAACCGGGAGAUAGCUGGUUCUCCCCGAAAGCUAUUUAGGUAGCGCCUCGUGAACUCAUCUUCGGGGGUAGAGCACUGUUUCGGCUAGGGGGCCAUCCCGGCUUACCAACCCGAUGCAAACUACGAAUACCGAAGAAUGUUAUCACGGGAGACACACGGCGGGUGCUAACGUCCGUCGUGAAGAGGGAAACAACCCAGACCGCCAGCUAAGGUCCCAAAGUCAUGGUUAAGUGGGAAACGAUGUGGGAAGGCACAGACAGCCAGGAUGUUGGCUUAGAAGCAGCCAUCAUUUAAAGAAAGCGUAAUAGCUCACUGGUCGAGUCGGCCUGCGCGGAAGAUGUAACGGGGCUAAACCAUGCACCGAAGCUGCGGCAGCGACGCUUAGGCGUUGUUGGGUAGGGGAGCGUUCUGUAAGCCGUUGAAGGUGUCCUGUGAGGGGUGCUGGAGGUAUCAGAAGUGCGAAUGCUGACAUAAGUAACGAUAAAGCGGGUGAAAAGCCCGCUCGCCGGAAGACCAAGGGUUCCUGUCCAACGUUAAUCGGGGCAGGGUGAGUCGACCCCUAAGGCGAGGCCGAAAGGCGUAGUCGAUGGGAAACAGGUUAAUAUUCCUGUACUUGGUGUUACUGCGAAGGGGGGACGGAGAAGGCUAUGUCAGCCGGGCGACGGUUGUCCCGGUUUAAGCAUGUAGGCGGAGGUUCCAGGUAAAUCCGGUACCUUGUUAACGCUGAGGUGUGAUGACGAGGCACUACGGUGCUGAAGUGAUAAAUGCCCUGCUUCCAGGAAAAGCCUCUAAGCAUCAGGUAACACGAAAUCGUACCCCAAACCGACACAGGUGGUCAGGUAGAGAAUACCAAGGCGCUUGAGAGAACUCGGGUGAAGGAACUAGGCAAAAUGGUGCCGUAACUUCGGGAGAAGGCACGCUGAUGUGUAGGUGAAGCCCCUGCGGGCGGAGCUGAAAUCAGUCGAAGAUACCAGCUGGCUGCAACUGUUUAUUAAAAACACAGCACUGUGCAAACACGAAAGUGGACGUAUACGGUGUGACGCCUGCCCGGUGCCGGAAGGUUAAUUGAUGGGGUUAGCGGCAACGCGAAGCUCUUGAUCGAAGCCCCGGUAAACGGCGGCCGUAACUAUAACGGUCCUAAGGUAGCGAAAUUCCUUGUCGGGUAAGUUCCGACCUGCACGAAUGGCGUAAUGAUGGCCAGGCUGUCUCCACCCGAGACUCAGUGAAAUUGAACUCGCUGUGAAGAUGCAGUGUACCCGCGGCAAGACGGAAAGACCCCGUGAACCUUUACUAUAGCUUGACACUGAACACUGGUCCUUGAUGUGUAGGAUAGGUGGGAGGCUUUGAAGCGUGGACGCCAGUCUGCGUGGAGCCAACCUUGAAAUACCACCCUUUAAUGGCUGGUGUUCUAACGUAGACCCGUAAUCCGGGUUGCGGACAGUGUCUGGUGGGUAGUUUGACUGGGGCGGUCUCCUCCCAAAGAGUAACGGAGGAGCACGAAGGUUGGCUAAUCCUGGUCGGACAUCAGGAGGUUAGUGCAAUGGCAUAAGCCAGCUUGACUGCGAGCGUGACGGCGCGAGCAGGUGCGAAAGCAGGUCAUAGUGAUCCGGUGGUUCUGAAUGGAAGGGCCAUCGCUCAACGGAUAAAAGGUACUCCGGGGAUAACAGGCUGAUACCGCCCAAGAGUUCAUAUCGACGGCGGUGUUUGGCACCUCGAUGUCGGCUCAUCACAUCCUGGGGCUGAAGUAGGUCCCAAGGGUAUGGCUGUUCGCCAUUUAAAGUGGUACGCGAGCUGGGUUUAGAACGUCGUGAGACAGUUCGGUCCCUAUCUGCCGUGGGCGCUGGAGAAUUGAGGGGGGCUGCUCCUAGUACGAGAGGACCGGAGUGGACGCAUCACUGGUGUUCGGGUUGUCAUGCCAAUGGCACUGCCCGGUAGCUAAAUGCGGAA